UCCAAAUCAUGGCUAAGAAUAAGAUAAAAAGGACCAACAUAAUAAAUACGAAAAAUAGUCUGAUUGGUAGAGAAGGGAGCUGACGUGGCGGAUCUUUGGUCAAAAUCGAAAUUAGGGCUUAAUGCGAUCCUACGCGGCGAGAUUGACCGGAAAGGCUAUGGUUUCAUCACCCCCAAUGAUGGCGGCGCGUGGAGCAUUUUUGUUCAUCAGUCUUCAAUAAGAAGCAUAUUUAGCUCCCGUGAAAACGAUGAAACAAAACUUGAGAGUUCGGGUGGAGAAGGUUCCUGUUACUGGUGCGGAUGCUUCUGCUCCUCCGUUAUCAUUGCUAAUCGCAACCAAUCGUUCUUUCUAGUCUUUAGAAACUUCGUCUGGUUUAUGAUUACUGUUUGAAACCUGCUUAUGAAUCUCCAUAUGAAUCUUUUCUACCUUCUAAUAGUGUGAACCCUUUUCCUAUGUAGCGGAAUCUGUGAAACGUUACCUCUAACCUUUGAGAAAGUUGGGAACAUAGCAGAGACAAAAAAAAUCUCUUAUACUGAUCAUGAAGCUAGUGUCUUUAUGCCAUUUGGAAAGAAAGAAACCCAAGGCUGCAUCCCGUGACUUACUUAUCUACUUGGAUCCGGGGUUCCUCUUCAUUUGGAUUGAUUCUUUUGUGAAAUUUAUGCAGAACAUGUUGUUCUGAGUCAGUUAAGCGCUAUAAUCCUGUGGGAACUAUAUGAUUGUAAUGAUGUUGUAAUAUUUAGUUAAAAAAAAAAAAGAAACUUGGGAACAACCAAAUUCAAUUAUACUUAAAUCACAUCUUGGUUUGGUUCAGGGGCACGGAUUAUUAGAUAACUAGACUAAAUAAUUGAUUCUUAAGAAUGCAAAAUAGUUUUAAUAGUGUAAACCAACUCUCCAUGUAUAUCAUGCUAAAUUUUGUAUUUCUCCACUACAUUUGUUACAGAAACUACUUGUUGAAAGACCAUCUGAAAUAUACUAGAGCUUUCUUUAUGAAAUAUUACGGAAAUAAAUACACAUUAUUUAACAUUUAGUAAUUAAAUGAAUAAACCAUUGUUCUAAUUAAGAAUAGAAGUAAGAAGUCUUUUAAAAUUGCUAAGCAUUCGAAAAACUUGGUGCACAACCUUAUAGUUAACCACAAAUACUAUAAGAUACAUAUACAAUGAUAAUGUAAGAAAACAAAUUUUUGUUAUAGGAAUAUGUUGGGAUUAAGUGGAAGGGAUGUUCUGUCUGCAGUAUUUAAUCAUUGAUAUUUCGUUGUUACUUAUUCGUCAAAAAGGGAUUUUAUUAUUUUAAAAUUACUUUCAAAAUGUAAUGUUAUUCAAAUAUUAAUGACUUCUAUUUUUCUUUCUCAAAUAUAGUGUUAUUGAAUAUACCAUUUAUGUGAAAGCAUUCAUUUGUAUAAUCUACAGUUAUUCAUUUAACAAUUUAUAAAAACUAAAUCAAAUUCAUUGUUGUUGAAAGAUAAACAAUUAUGAAAAGACAAAACUAUAAAAAGGAUUUGAUGCGAGCGUUUCAUCAUUUUUCAAAAAUAGAACUCACCACCCCCUAUAGCUGUUAUUUGAAAAACUCAAAAUUUUAUAUAAAAAAAUUAGCCAAAGAAAACUACGUUCCACAUCCCCAAAUGCUGACCCCACUAACGUUUCUCCAAAACCAGAAUCUACACUAGCAAAUUGCCCUAUGAAUCUCAACGAUGUCUCCACACUUUUUUCUCACAUGCAUGUAAUUUAUGUAAAGCUUCUAACGCCUUUAUCGAUUCCUUAUCAGGAUUCACAAUAUUUUUUUUAUUGAGCUUUAGAUUAUGUCUAAAUUAAUGGCGGUCUGGAAACAUCAAUAUUUGAGUGUCCAACAAAGUGACGUCGUCCUACUGGCUAAUUUUGUCUACACUGGAGCUUUUGUGAGAUUCAAAGAUUCACAAGUACAAAUACUCAGGGUCCAAGUAAUCUUUAUCUAGCAGCUUUGCUAUUAUGCCUUAUCUACGGUUAGAGUUCGCAACCACGUUUUCUCAUUCAAUGCACCUUUUAUCUCUUCAAAGGCGGUGCAUCUUAAGCUAUAAAAAGUUGAGCUUUCAUCCCUAAACAUCAUCCUCAUUCUUUACAAAUCCUAAUAACCCUUGAAAGUUAUCUGAUUUUUAACUUAAUAUUGAUGUUUGUUGUUUGUGUAGAAAUUUGUGCUUGAACCAGCAAUGCAAACCCGUGCUAUGAUCGAUCCGUCGUGCUAGGACAAGAACUAGAAAGACUCUUGCUUUCCCGUAAUUUGACAUAAUCAAUAAAUUCAACUCUAACACAGAUUGGAUGUGUAAAAGGUGUGGGAAGAACCUCUUUGUUUGGUUUUGCGAAGAAAUUCAGAGAAGCUCCAUCUCUCGGUGAAGAACUAAACAGAACAUUGAGCAAUCGUCUGAUUACAUCAACGACAGGUUGAUAGACCUUGGAGAGUGUAUAAAAGGAUGAGAAAGUGCGGGAACGUUGAAGAGAAGAGAGGAGAAACAGAGGAUUGAAAGACUCUAAAUGAAUAAGAGUGUUUGCAGUUAUAAUUGUUGCAACUAUAAAUACUUUAUGCCUUUGUUAUUUUUGGAGUUUAUCGAGUUGUAAACAUUGAGAGUGAGAGAGACGAUUGUAAGACGUUGUGAUUAGCUCGUGAGAGGAUCACUACUUACAAUUGUUGAGUAUUGAUAAGAAAUCUACUUUGGAUCUUA